UUCCAAUCGAACCUGGAGAUAGCUGGUUCUCUCCGAAAUAGCUUUAGGGCUAGCCUCAAGUGAUGAUUAUUGGAGGUAGAGCACUGUUUGGACGAGGGGCCCCUCUCGGGUUACCGAAUUCAGACAAACUCCGAAUGCCAAUUAAUUUAACUUGGGAGUCAGAACAUGGGUGAUAAGGUCCGUGUUCGAAAGGGAAACAGCCCAGACCACCAGCUAAGGUCCCAAAAUAUAUGUUAAGUGGAAAAGGAUGUGGCGUUGCCCAGACAACUAGGAUGUUGGCUUAGAAGCAGCCAUCAUUUAAAGAGUGCGUAAUAGCUCACUAGUCGAGUGACACUGCGCCGAAAAUGUACCGGGGCUAAACAUAUUACCGAAGCUGUGGAUUGUCCUUUGGACAAUGGUAGGAGAGCGUUCUAAGGGCGUUGAAGCAUGAUCGUAAGGACAUGUGGAGCGCUUAGAAGUGAGAAUGCCGGUGUGAGUAGCGAAAGACGGGUGAGAAUCCCGUCCACCGAUUGACUAAGGUUUCCAGAGGAAGGCUCGUCCGCUCUGGGUUAGUCGGGUCCUAAGCUGAGGCCGACAGGCGUAGGCGAUGGAUAACAGGUUGAUAUUCCUGUACCACCUAUAAUCGUUUUAAUCGA
rnacentral:rRNA from 1 species